rnacentral:misc_RNA from 1 species
AACCUAAGUAACAAAGGUAGCUAAUUUUCACAAGAACCAAACCAAAAAGCCCUAUCUCUUCCUUGCCACGCUUACAUGAAAAUUGCCAGCACAUUUUUGCACAUAUCAGUCGGCUAAUCCAAAACUAACAACUAUCCCCUUUCUCUCUCUCACUGAGAGGGAGGAGGACCCCAAAACACCUCAUGUGGCAUUUGCCCAUUGAGUAGCAAAUUUGGAGGCAAAUUGUAGACAGGCAUUGAACCAUGCUCGCCCAUAGGCUGAGAAGAUUGAGGCCCGGAAUUAUUAUUACCGUUACCACCACCGCCUGCGGUAGUAUUGCUAUUAUCAUUAGUCCCUGAAUUCACUUGCUGCUGCAACUGCGACCCUUCCUGCUCUUGUUCCUCCAGCGGUAAUCUCUCAAAAGUAGCAUUACUAAAUGUUGCUGCUAUCACCAUCACUGGUCCUGCUGCCACCAGCGCCCCCGCCACUGUCCCUCCAACCACCUGCCCUUGCCCACCCCAAAUACACAGUCAGCCCCGUUGCUCCCGUAGGUGACGGAGCAGGAAGAAAUGAACCCGAUAAUGAUAAAAUCUCGAAUCUUCCGUGAAGAGUGAUUACCCCACCAGGUGCAGCGGGUUGCCUAAGAGUAACAUUAGUCACUACUCCACUUCCACUUAAGAUUGAAACCCCUCGGUGGCGGCGUUGAGAAAAAGUUGCAAUGCUCUCUGCGAUAUCGCUGCCAGAGCUGAUUUCCAGGACAUGACUACGAAGAGAAUUAGGGCUUUCCUUGGUGAUCACUAUGGGCGGUCUUGGUUUGUUUUUUGAACCCGGAGGCCGGCCUCUAGGCCUUCGUGAUGAGCUGCCGCUACCUGGUUCGAUGGUUUCUAGAGCUGUAUUAAGAUCUUCAGAUUCUUGGUUGUUGUCUCUGCUGUCUUCUUGUUCUUCCUGGUUUUGGUUUUGGUUUUGAGUAGGGGUGGUGGUGGAGGUGGAGGCGGUCUUAGCGCUAUUAGUGCUAUUGGUUGUGUUUGUGUCGAUAAAAUCUUGUUCUCUUCUAGGACCCAGCCGGUUCAAACCGGCAAUAUCUUCCUCUGUGUUUCUCAGGUGAAGAGACGGAACUGGGGAUAUUGGGUCGACACCUCUCAUGGCAACAUUUCCAGCCCA